rnacentral:rRNA from 1 species
AUUGAACGCUGGCGGCAGGCCUAACACAUGCAAGUCGAGCGGUAGAGAGGUGCUUGCAUCUCUUGAGAGCGGCGGACGGGUGAGUAAUGCCUAGGAAUCUGCCUAGUGGUGGGGGAUAACGUUCGGAAACGGACGCUAAUACCGCAUACGUCCUACGGGAGAAAGCGGGGGAUCUUCGGACCUCGCGCCAUUAGAUGAGCCUAGGUCGGAUUAGCUAGUUGGUGAGGUAAUGGCUCACCAAGGCGACGAUCCGUAACUGGUCUGAGAGGAUGAUCAGUCACACUGGAACUGAGACACGGUCCAGACUCCUACGGGAGGCAGCAGUGGGGAAUAUUGGACAAUGGGCGAAAGACCUGAUCCAGCCAUGCCGCGUGUGUGAAGAAGGUCUUCGGAUUGUAAAGCACUUUAAGUUGGGUAGGAAGGGUAGUAACCUAAUACGUUGCUACUUUGACGUUACCGUACAGAAUAAGCACCGGC